UACGUAGGGGGCGAGCGUUGUCCGGAUUUAUUGGGCGUAAAGAGCGUGUAGGCGGCCAGGUAGGUCUGCUGUGAAAACUCGAGGCUCAACCUCGAGACGUCGGCGGAAACCAUCUGGCUAGAGUCCGGAAGAGGAGAGUGGAAUUCCUGGUGUAGCGGUGAAAUGCGCAGAUAUCAGGAAGAACACCCGUGGCGAAGGCGGCUCUCUGGGACGGUACUGACGCUGAGACGCGAAAGCUAGGGGAGCGAACAGG
rnacentral:rRNA from 1 species